CGCCUGCCCUGUGACAAAGGUUUAACGGCCGCGGUAUUUUGACCGUGCAAAGGUAGCGCAAUCACUUGUCCUUUAAAUGAAGACCUGUAUGAAUGGCAUCACGAGGGCUUAACUGUCUCCUUUUUCUAGUCAAUGAAAUUGAUCCCCCCGUGCAGAAGCGGGGAUAAAACCAUAAGACGAGAAGACCCUAUGAAGCUUCAGACGCAAGACAGACCUUGUUAAGCACUUCAAAAUAAAGAAAUAAACUAAAAGAACACUGUUCUGAUGUCUUUGGUUGGGGCGACCACGGGGAAACAAAAAACCCCCAUGCGGACUGAGAAAACAAUUCUCACAACCAAGAGUCACAACUCUAAUUAACAGAAUUUCUGACCUUUAGAUCCGGCAAUGCCGAUCAACGGACCGAGUUACUCUAGGGAUAACAGCGCAAUCCCCUUUCAGAGUUCCUAUCGACAAGGGGGUUUACGACCUCGAUGUUGGAUCAGGACAUCCUAAUGGUGCAGCAGCUAUUAAGGGUUCGUUUUGUUUCAACGAUUUAAAGUCCU
rnacentral:rRNA from 1 species